CUCCUACGGGAGGCAGCAGUGGGGAAUAUUGCACAAUGGGCGCAAGCCUGAUGCAGCCAUGCCGCGUGUAUGAAGAAGGCCUUCGGGUUGUAAAGUACUUUCAGCGGGGAGGAAGGGAGUAAAGUUAAUACCUUUGCUCAUUGACGUACCCGCAGA
rnacentral:rRNA from 1 species